UUUCGUAGACGUCCCACCUCUGUUCGUCAAAGUGGCUCUGAUGUGUGUCUCUUUUUUUCAUAUCACAGCCAGCUUUGAUGAGCGGUGGUGAGUCUCCUACU
rnacentral:pre_miRNA from 1 species